rnacentral:rRNA from 1 species
GAUGAACGCUGGCGGCGUGCCUAAUACAUGCAAGUCGAGCGAAUGGAUUAAGAGCUUGCUCUUAUGAAGUUAGAGGCGGACGGGUGAGUAGCACGUGGGUAACCUGCCCAUAAGACUGGGAUACAUCCGGGAAACCGGGGCUAAUACCGGAUAACAUUUUGAACCGCAUGCUUCGAAAUUGAAAGGCGGCUUCGGCUGUCACUUAUGGAUGGAACCGCGUCGCAUUAGCCAGUUGGUGAGGUAACGGCUAACCAAGGCAACGAUGCGUAGCCGACCUGAGAGGGUGAUCGGCCAGACUGGGACUGAGACACGGACCAGACUCCUACGGGAGGCAGCAGUAGGGAAUCUUCCGCAAUGGACGAAAGUCUGACGGAGCAACGCCGCGUGAGUGAUGAAGGCUUUCGGGUCGUAAAACUCUGUUGUUAGGGAAGAACAAGUGCUAGUUGAAUAAGCUGGCACCUUGACGGUACCUAACCAGAAAGCCACGGCUAACUACGUGCCAGCCGCCGCCGUAA